rnacentral:rRNA from 1 species
GUAGCUCCAACCGCAGCGGAGGGAGGGAAGCCGUGGCGGCGGUCCUUACCUGCUGCCGCGGCCACGCAGUCCAGCUACAGCGGAAGUAGAGGUCGUGGUCUAGAACGCUGCUUUUGGCACAGAGCAGGUAGCGCAACGCUCGUGCCGCUGCCGUUCCCGCUCUCCUUCGCCAAGAAGGACCGAGGAGAUGUAGAGUCCCAGCAGGGGGGUGUUGGUGCGGCGGCGCGAGGAGUAGAGGUGCAGGGAGACGCGACUGCUCGUGCCCGUCCGAAGGGUGGUACCAAGGGAGGUGCGGCUGCGUUUCAUUCUUCCCUCAUCUUCCGGACGUUUUCCUCUUACUCUUACUUCGAUACGACGAACUUUUUUCUUUCUUAGACGUCAGGAUUGUUUCUUGGACUUUGUUGUGAGACCUUUUUUCUCUCUUCCUUUGUUGUUAGAACGUUCCCUUUAUUUCUUUGGCGUCGAACAAGUGAUUUAAAAGUCACUCACCGAAGGAUCUCCAUGUUUUCAACUAGCUCCAUACCUUCUAGAAGUUCAACGACUUCUAAACCUUCUGGAUGUUAAUUCAACCACCUUACUAUCACAGCAUACAGAACAAACAACUUGGACCUCUGAACGAGACGAGUAAAACUACCAACAAUUCGAGUAAAACCGACACACCGUGUAGAUUUUUGUAUACAUGAAGAGGAAAACACCGUGAUGAAAUAAAACUAACACACUGUGUAGACAUUUGUAUAUACAUGAAAAAACCGUGUUGGCCGAAUAUAUACCAGCAAUAUAA